rnacentral:misc_RNA from 1 species
GAUGAAGAACGUAGCGAAAUGCGAUAAGUAGUGUGAAUUGCAGAAUUCAGUGAAUCAUCGAAUCUUUGAACGCACAUUGCGCCCCUUGGUAUUCCAUGGGGCAUGCCUGUUCGAGCGUCAUUUGUACCCUCAAGCUUUGCUUGGUGUUGGGUGUUUGUCCCGCGUUGCGCGUGGACUCGCCUUAAAGCGAUUGGCAGCCGGCAUAUUGGCCUUGGAGCGCAGCACAUUUUGCGCUUCUAGUCAUGAAUGUUGGCGUCCAUUAAGCCUAUACAUUUGCUCUUGAACUCGGAUCAGGUAGGGAUACCCGCUGAACUUAAGCAUAUCAAUAAGCGGAGGA